ensembl:snoRNA SNORA70 Small nucleolar RNA SNORA70
CUGGCCAAUUAAGCCGACCAUGCGCUCUCCCCAUGGAGGCCUGGCUUGCGGCGGCCACAGACAACACCCCUUCAGCAGGAUAUGCAGCCUGUUGCUCCCAUGGCUGCCUUAUAGGACCUCGGGGACAGCC